UAUUUGUAGCUUGCUAUAUUAUGACGAGCGGCGGACGGGUGAGUAAUGCUUGGGAAUAUGCCUUAGGGUGGGGGACAACAGUUGGAAACGACUGCUAAUACCGCAUAACGUCUACGGACCAAAGGGGGCUUCGGCUCUCGCCCUUAGAUUAGCCCAAGUGGGAUUAGCUAGUUGGUGAGGUAAUGGCUCACCAAGGCGACGAUCCCUAGCUGGUUUGAGAGGAUGAUCAGCCACACUGGAACUGAGACACGGUCCAGACUCCUACGGGAGGCAGCAGUGGGGAAUAUUGCACAAUGGGCGCAAGCCUGAUGCAGCCAUGCCGCGUGUGUGAAGAAGGCCUUAGGGUUGUAAAGCACUUUCAGUAAGGAGGAAAGGUUAGUAGUUAAUACCUGCUAGCUGUGACGUUACUUACAGAAGAAGCACCGGCUAACUCCGUGCCAGCAGCCGCGGUAAAUACCGGAGGGUGCCGAGCGUUAAUC
rnacentral:rRNA from 1 species